rnacentral:rRNA from 1 species
AGUGAACGCUGGCGGCAGGCCUAAUACAUGCAAGUCGAACGAGCCCGCAAGGGCAAGUGGCGAAAGGGUUAGUAAUACGAUCGAAUGUACCCUGAGGUGGCGGAUAGUCGUGGGAAACUGCGGGUAAUACGUCAUGAUCUCUCCGGAGCAAAGAUUUAUCGCCUUGGGAGCAGCGAUCGUCCUAUCAGGUAGUUGGCGGGGUAAUGGCCCACCAAGCCGAAGACGGGUAGCGGGUGUGAGAGCACGGCCCGCAACAUCGGAACUGAGACACUGUCCGGACUCCUACGGGAGGCUGCAGUAACGAAUCUUCCGCAAUGGGCGAAAGCCUGACGGAGCAAUGCCGCGUGUGGGAUGAAGCGCCUUCGGCGUGUAACCACUGUCAGGGAACGGAACCAAUGAUUGUUCCCAAAGGAAGUGGCGACUAACUCUGUG